AGAGUUUGAUCAUGGCUCAGAUUGAACGCUGGCGGCAGGCCUAACACAUGCAAGUCGAGCGGUAGCACAGAGAGCUUGCUCUCGGGUGACGAGCGGCGGACGGGUGAGUAAUGUCUGGGAAACUGCCUGAUGGAGGGGGAUAACUACUGGAAACGGUAGCUAAUACCGCAUAACGUCGCAAGACCAAAGUGGGGGACCUUCGGGCCUCAUGCCAUCAGAUGUGCCCAGAUGGGAUUAGCUAGUAGGUGGGGUAAUGGCUCACCUAGGCGACGAUCCCUAGCUGGUCUGAGAGGAUGACCAGCCACACUGGAACUGAGACACGGUCCAGACUCCUACGGGAGGCAGCAGUGGGGAAUAUUGCACAAUGGGCGCAAGCCUGAUGCAGCCAUGCCGCGUGUGUGAAGAAGGCCUUCGGGUUGUAAAGCACUUUCAGCGGGGAGGAAGGCGUUAAGGUUAAUAACCUUGGCGAUUGACGUUACCCGCAGAAGAAGCACCGGCUAACUCCGUGCCAGCAGCCGCGGUAAUACGGAGGGUGCAAGCGUUAAUCGGAAUUACUGGGCGUAAAGCGCACGCAGGCGGUCUGUCAAGUCGGAUGUGAAAUCCCCGGGCUCAACCUGGGAACUGCAUUCGAAACUGGCAGGCUAGAGUCUUGUAGAGGGGGGUAGAAUUCCAGGUGUAGCGGUGAAAUGCGUAGAGAUCUGGAGGAAUACCGGUGGCGAAGGCGGCCCCCUGGACAAAGACUGACGCUCAGGUGCGAAAGCGUGGGGAGCAAACAGGAUUAGAUACCCUGGUAGUCCACGCCGUAAACGAUGUCGAUUUGGAGGUUGUGCCCUUGAGGCGUGGCUUCCGGAGCUAACGCGUUAAAUCGACCGCCUGGGGAGUACGGCCGCAAGGUUAAAACUCAAAUGAAUUGACGGGGGCCCGCACAAGCGGUGGAGCAUGUGGUUUAAUUCGAUGCAACGCGAAGAACCUUACCUGGUCUUGACAUCCACAGAACUUUCCAGAGAUGGAUUGGUGCCUUCGGGAACUGUGAGACAGGUGCUGCAUGGCUGUCGUCAGCUCGUGUUGUGAAAUGUUGGGUUAAGUCCCGCAACGAGCGCAACCCUUAUCCUUUGUUGCCAGCGGU
rnacentral:rRNA from 1 species